AGAUGAAGACUCCAAAGAAUUCUGGCUAAACAAGAGAGCUAGCUAGAAGGCAGGAAUUCCAAAGUAUAUAAGGUUAAUGCUUUCCAAGUUGCUCUUUCAUGCCUAAGGGGUGUAACACAUAUGGUACUAAAAAUCUUUGGUCAAUGCCCAGCCCUCAACCAAAUGAGUAAUUGGGAGGACUUUACUGAUCUGGAUUCCAAAGAGUCAUUUGUCAUUAUUGUAAAGCCACCCAAGGCCAUUGCUCCAGUUAUAUGAGAGGACCUAUGCAGUCCUGAACGGGAAGAUUCAACCACACAGCUGUGAAUGGUAGAGGUAGAACUGAAACAUGGCUCAGGCUGUGAAAAAUGCUGAAAACCCCUGACUUUGUAAAUCAAUAUCAAUCAAUGCCCUGCAAAGUACAUCAUAAAUCUGGACGUUCAAGAGGGCUAACCCUGAGUGUCCUCUCCAUUCCUGAGAGCUGGAGGAAGAUCUGUGUCACACCUGGAGGCCUAGACCUCCACUUUCCCAAGAAGAAAACAUGUCUCUGUGCUGCACUUCCUUCCCUGAACAAGUGAAUUCUUUUGUUGCAAACAGCCUGCUCACUGCUACACUUCCUAAGGUGAAGUACACUACUUCAUAAAUGGUGUACUCUGCAUGUUCGUGUACAGCACCAUGUCACAUCUAAGUCAUUCCAACUCUGCAGCAUCCAUGUUUGCUUUCUGGUUUUAUUCAUGGUGCUGGAAAUAUUUGUUCCCACAAUAGCUUAUAAAUUGAAUUUUAUUUUUUUUAAGUGAGAAGUUCUGCCUAACCAUUAAAGGGUUUUGCUAUUGAUGCUUAUUUCUCAGUGUUUGACUAUGGAAGAACAACAUGGCAGGCACUGCAGAUCUGCUAAUGUGCACCUUAGUUCCCAAAGAAUGGGUGUAAGCUGUGAAAGGAGAAAAAAAAAUACAUA